GAUGAACGCUGGCGGCGUGCCUAAAACAUGCAAGUCGAGCGAAUGGAUUAAGAGCUUGCUCUUAUGAAGUUAGCGGCGGACGGGUGAGUAACACGUGGGUAACCUGCCCAUAAGACUAGGAUAACUCCGGGAAACCGGGGCUAAUACCGGAUAACAUUUUGAACCGCAUGGUUCGAAAUUGAAAGGCGGCUUCGGCUGUCACUUAUGGAUGGACCCGGGUCGCAUUAGCUAGUUGGUGAGGUAACGGCUCACCAAGGCAACGAUGCGUAGCCGACCUGAGAGGGUGAUCGGCCACACUGGGACUGAGACACGGCCCAGACUCCUACGGGAGGCAGCAGUAGGGAAUCUUCCGCAAUGGACGAAAGUCUGACGGAGCAACGCCGCGUGAGUGAUGAAGGCUUUCGGGUCGUAAAACUCUGUUGUUAGGGAAGAACAAGUGCUAGUUGAAUAAGCUGGCACCUUGACGAUACCUAACCAGAAAGCCACGGCUAACUACGUGCCAGCCGCCGCCGUAA
rnacentral:rRNA from 1 species